AGCCUUUCUUUGCGCGGGAGCUCGACCCGCGACUGCCGUGGUGAUCAGUUUCAUCGCCGAUCACAAGCUGAGGUUCGGGGUCGAGCCGAUCUGCCGGGUGCUCACUGGGCAUGGCUGCAAGAUCGCCCCU
rfam:Tessaracoccus flavescens strain SST-39T, complete genome.